GCAUUACAUGUCAUCAGUUGUUCAAACAAAAUAUGUAAAACUUUAGACAAAUAUUUUUCUAACAGUCCAUCUACUUCUAGCAAUAUCAAGGUUAGCCAUUUUUGAGUCAUACGGACACGAUCCAAGAUUUCCUCCAUUCGUUGCACAUGUACAACAUUAACAAAAGUUUGGGAUGUGUAGAGUGAAGAAUCAUUUACUUCCUUUCAGUAAUUUGCAUCAUAAGAUCUGUAACAUUUCUAAAGAAAAUUAGUUUUUCUCUCAAAUAACCUGUCUUUGCUUCUCACAAUAUGUUCCAUGACAACUUUCUGUACUUCCGCUGGGGUCACAUCACUCGCUGACAGCUUGGGUAGUGCCUUUAACUCAACUUCAGAUUUGGAUGGUGAUGAAAUGACAGAAAAUUUAGUAAUGCAAGUCAGAGAUGCGAUGUCAGGCAGCUGCGUAGAUGCCUGUUCGACUGGUGUCUGAAGUAGUCUAAAUUCUGCAACAUUGAAGUUACUGUCAUUAUGGAUAGAACUGGCAGUUAAUGUAUCCAAAUCACCUUACAUAGGAAAAACAGCUGACACUUUCAGCUUUGUCAAUUCCCGCUGUAGCACUUCCUCAAAUUUCCCUCCACUUAACUGUGCAAUUUCUCAUAGUUCUUUAAAGUAGCGGUAGGCGUGUACACACUGGCUAAUGACCUAAUGUUGUAUGAUCAGGUAAGCUAGAAGUCUUGUGAACAUAAGGCAUCAAAGACUCCAAUGACUGCAUUGCAGUGUCAUAUUUGAACUUAACAAUGAGUUGUUGGUUAAUAUUCUCCAUAAUAAUCUCCAUUUAGGCAGUUCUGUUUUGAACACUCCAAAUCUGUUCUCAGGUUAAUCAAUAAAUACACCACAGGCUCCUGGCUGGCUCGCCAAUUUUACAUGUAGCACUUGUGACUAGAAACAAUGAGUUAAUACACUAGUAAGGUACUGCAUUCAAGGUAGACCAGUCUAGGUUUGCCCCAGAUACUGAUGGUGUAAAUAAUGAUCAAAGUUUACAAAUUUGAUAAUGUUGUUUUCUUAGUGCACAAUAAUUAAUGUCAAUGGCACAAACAAAUGAUAAUAAUAAAGACUCCCUUAUACAAUGGUAAUGUACAAAUGGCUUAUCGUGAAAAUCCAAUUUAUCCAAGUGGUCCAAAAUACCAUCCAAGAUAUCCCACAAAUAAACUCUAUUUUACAUCAGUGAUACAGUAAAUGAAAAUAAUAAAUCACCAAGUCAGUGAAUCCACAGUGUCCUAACUGUGCAGUGUAAAUGUGAGUUUGCUCCUACCACACUGUAGAGUGUAGUGUAAAAUUAUGUUGAUGCAGUGCACCAAAGUCCUUCACAGUUAAUGGAAAAAAAUAUAAAUCUUUGCAUGCAACUUUUUCAGAUUCUUGAGUCUGGGUGGCUCGCCAUCUUUGGAAAAAAGUGACAUAAAUGGAAACAAAGCCUACAACAAAACCUCCCUUUUGACAUUAACAUGGGGACACUAUUUUAACUCCUUCUUCACAGUUAUCAGUUGAAGACAGAAGAGAAUCUCCUCUGUAGUUUAUUUGCCUUUAAGUGAAGGUAGGUAUAUGGGGGAUUUUGUUCCUAGUUUGCUUAACUGUUAUAUCAGGUAAGUGUUUCCUUAUAUACGUGUUUCUCUAUUGCGACACACUGUACAUAUUUGAGGCAAAUCAUUGAUUGUCUCAGGACCAGGAUGUGUCAAUCAUCCUGCUCUGUGCCUAAUAUACGUAUUUCUAUGUUGUUCACUAUGAAAUGUGUGAAUCUUUUACUUUAUUGGGACUACAGUUUUGUGUUCUGUAGGUAGGUUAACAUAUAUUUGGGAAGUCCCAAAUUGAUUACUCCCAUCUAUCAAAUUCCCAACAAUGUUCUCUUUUUAUUAUUCUCGUCAACAUCAGUAUCUGGGGAACUUUCAUUCUGCUAUAGCUUUUGAGUAGCUAGUGAGAAAGUAGAAGCUGUGAAUCAGUAUUUCACGCAUAGAUUUGUAAGUGUAUUUAUGCAAGCACCAAAAAAUAUGAGAGUCACAGAGGGAGAGAGAGAAGGAGAAAAGUGUAACAUAGGGAAGGUGAGAGAGCAUCAGGACAUGAGCAAGCUCAGAUGGCCUCCCCUGUUUCAAGGGAUGUGUCUGUGUGUUUAUGUAUACGUGUACGACGCAUGCAUGCGUGCAUACAUGAACAUGUGCAUGCUGUGAAUGUGACUUUUCUGUGUGUGUGGCUAUCUGUGUAUGUGUUUAUUUUCUGUGUGUGUGUGUUUUUCCAGGAAUCAGUACACCUGCACUGGCUGAGUGGGUUGGCUCAGUGGGCUGGUGUGGAGCUCCAGCAGUCCCCCCCAGGCCAACUCUGUCAGGCCCUGCCAAGGUCAGCCUCUUGCUGGGGGCCGGAGAGGGAGAGUGCGAGGGCGGAGGUGGGGGUGGAGGCUCCACCAUGACCACCAGGGCCUUUGGUGCAGUGUCCAAUAGCAACUGCAUCUGGAGAGGAAAAGCCUUUUGGACAUACAGAGAGAAAUCGAGACUCAUCAGACCAGGCAACAUUCUUCCACUCUUCAACUGUCCAAUUUUGAACAUCAAGUUCAGCGAACAACCCGGGAUACCCUUUGUUGUGCUUACCUGAGCCAGCACCUGGAUAACGACGGAAGCAUGGGAAGCGUGGGUGGAGUUUUGGUCCGGCUGCAGGGG
ensembl:lncRNA